AUUGAACGCUGGCGGCAUGCCUUACACAUGCAAGUCGAACGGCAGCACGGGAGCAAUCCUGGUGGCGAGUGGCGAACGGGUGAGUAAUAUAUCGGAACGUGCCCAGUCGUGGGGAUAACGUAGCGAAAGCUACGCUAAUACCGCAUACGAUCUACGGAUGAAAGCGGGGGGAUCGCAAGACCUCGCGCGAUUGGAGCGGCCGAUAUCAGAUUAGGUAGUUGGUGAGGUAAAAGGGCUCACCAAGCCGACGAUCUGUAGCUGGUCUGAGAGGACGACCAGCCACACUGGGACUGAGACACGGCCCAGACUCCUACGGGAGGCAGCAGUGGGAAUUUUGGACAAUGGGGGCAACCCUGAUCCAGCAAAUGCCCGCGUGAGUG
rnacentral:rRNA from 1 species